GUCGCAUCUGAUCAACGAAGUUAAGCAAACGUCGAACCUGGUCAGUACCUAGAUGGGUGACCACUUGGGAAUACCAAGUGCUGUAAG